rnacentral:rRNA from 1 species
GGAGCCUAGUAGAGUGGCAAACGGGUGAGUAACGCGUGGGUAACGUACCCUGAUCCUGGGAAUAACCCUCGGAAACGAGGGCUAAUACCGAAUGUGGCGAACGACCGGUUGGUCGCUCGCUAAAGGUGGCCUCUUCUAUGCUGCCGGGUUGGGAUCGGCCCGCGUCCCAUUAGCUAGUUGGUGAGGUAACGGCUCACCAAGGCCACGAUGGGUAGCCGGCCUGAGAGGGUGUACGGCCACACUGGCACUGAGACAAGGGCCAGUCCCCUAUGGGAGGCGCAGGCGGGAAUAGUUCACAAUGGGCGAAAGCCUGAUGACGCGACGCCGCGUGAGCGAAGAAGACCUUCGGGUUGUAAAGCUCUGUCAGGAGGGAAGAAGGCUCUACGGGUUAAUAGCCCGUGGAAUUGACGGUACCUCCAGAGGAAGCCCCGGCUAAAUACGUGCCAGCAGCCGCGGUAAUACGUAUGGGGCAAGCGUUGUCCGGAUUUACUGGGCGUAAAGGGCGCGUAGGCGGUUUGUUAAGUCGAAGGUGAAAUCCUCGGGCUCAACUCGAGAAUUGCCUUCGAUACUGGCAAACUAGAGUGGCGGAGAGGAAAGCGGAACUCUUGGUGUAACGGUGGAAUGUGUAGAUCUCAAGAGGAACACCGGUGGCGAAGGCGGCUUUCUGGACGCACACUGACGCUCAGGCGCGAAAGCGUGGGUAGCAAACAGGAUUAGAUACCCUGGUAGUCCACGCCAUAAACGAUGGGUACUAGGUGUCGGGGGUAUCGACCCCUCCGGUGCCGCAGUUAACGCACUAAGUACCGCGCCUGGGGAUUAUGGUCGCAAGGCUGAAAAUCAAAGGAAUUGACGGGGCCCCGAACAAGCGGUGGAGCAUGUGGUUUAAUUCGACGCAACGCGAAGAACCUUACCUGGGCUUGACAUGCUUGGGACAGCGCUGGAAACAGCGUCUCUCCUUCGGGAGCCCUUGCACAGGUGCUGCAUGGCUGUCGUCAGCUCGUGUCGUGAGAUGUUGGGUUAAGUCCCGCAACGAGCGCAACCCUCGUUACUAGUUGCCAUCAGUUCGACUGGGCACUCUAGUGAGACUGCCGGUGAUAAACCGGAGGAAGG